rnacentral:tRNA from 1 species
GCCCCGUUAGCUCAGUGGAAGAGCGCCUCCCUGACACGGAGGAGGUCCCAGGUUCGAUUCCUGGACGGGGUACCA